GACGAACGCUGGCGGCGUGCUUAACACAUGCAAGUCGAACGCGCCUGUCCUCUGGGUUUCUGGGGGGUGGGUGAGUGGCGAGCGGGUGAGUAACACGUGAGUAACCUGCCCCCUUCUUCGGGAUAACGGUCUGAAAGGGCUGCUAAUACCGGGUAUUCACUGGUCUCCGCAUGGGGUCUGGUGGAAAGGUUUUUUUCUGGUGGGGGAUGGGCUCGCGGCCUAUCAGCUUGUUGGUGGGGUGAUGGCCCACCAAGGCUUUGACGGGUAGCCGGCCUGAGAGGGUGACCGGUCACAUUGGGACUGAGAUACGGCCCAGACUCCUACGGGAGGCAGCAGUGGGGAAUAUUGCACAAUGGGCGCAAGCCUGAUGCAGCGACGCCGCGUGAGGGAUGGAGGCCUUCGGGUUGUGAACCUCUUUCGCCCGUGGUCAAGCCGCGACGUGGGUCGUGGUGAGGGUAGUGGGUAAAGAAGCGCCGGCUAACUACGUG
rnacentral:rRNA from 1 species